rnacentral:rRNA from 1 species
CCUACGGGAGGCAGCAGUGGGGGAUAUUGCACAAUGGGGGGAACCCUGAUGCAGCGACGCCGCGUGGGGGAAGAAGCGCCUCGGCGCGUAAAGCCCUGUCAGCAGGGAAGAAAAUGACGGUACCUGAAGAAGAAGCCCCGGCUAACUACGUGCCAGCAGCCGCGGUAAUACGUAGGGGGCAAGCGUUAUCCGGAUUUACUGGGUGUAAAGGGGGCGCAGACGGCGAGGCAAGCCAGGAGUGAAAGCGCGGGGCCCAACCCCGGGACUGCUCUUGAAACUGCGUGGCUGGAGUGCAGGAGGGGUAGGCGGAAUUCCUGGUGUAGCGGUGAAAUGCGUAGAUAUCAGGAGGAACACCGGUGGCGAAGGCGGCCUACUGGACUGCAACUGACGUUGAGGCUCGAAAGCGUGGGGAGCAAACAGGAUUAGAUACCCGGGUAGUC